rnacentral:tRNA from 1 species
GGGGCCGUAGUUCAGUUGGGAGAACGCCUGCUUUGCACGCAGGAGGUAAGGGGUUCGAAUCCCCUCGGCUCCA